UACGUAGGGUGCAGGCGUUAAUCGGAAUUACUGGGCGUAAAGCGUGCGCAGGCGGUCUUUUAAGUCAGAUGUGAAAUCCCCGGGCUUAACCUGGGAACUGCGUUUGAAACUGGAAGGCUAGAGUGUGGCAGAGGGGGGUAGAAUUCCGACGUGUAGCAGUGAAAUGCGUAGAGAUGUGGAGGAACACCGAUGGCGAAGGCAGCCCCCUGGGUCAAGACUGACGCUCAUGCACGAAAGGCGUGGGAGCAAACAGG
rnacentral:rRNA from 1 species